rnacentral:tRNA from 1 species
CAGGAUGUGGCUAAGAUAGAAAAGCAUCUCCCUUACACUGAGAAGACCCUCGUGCAAAUCGAGUCCUCCUGA